rnacentral:rRNA from 1 species
AGCAGCCGCGGUAAUUCCAGCUCCAAUAGCGUAUAUUAAAGUUGUUGCAGUUAAAAAGCUCGUAGUUGAAUUUCGGGACCAAUUUGUUGGUCGUGCCUCGGUACGUACUGGUAUUAUUGGUUUCUCCCUUCUGAAGAACCAUGAUGCCAUUAAUUUGGUGUCGUGGGGAAUCAGGACUGUUACUUUGAAAAAAUUAGAGUGUUUAAAGCAGGCAUACGCUUGAAUACAUUAGCAUGGAAUAAUGAAAUAGGACGUUUGAUUCUAUUUUGUUGGUUUCUAGGAUCGACGUAAUGAUUAAUAGGGAUAGUUGGGGGCAUUAGUAUUCAAUUGUCAGAGGUGAAAUUCUUGGAUUUAUUGAAGACUAACUACUGCGAAAGCAUUUGCCAAGGAUGUUUUCAUUAAUCAAGAACGAAAGUUAGGGGAUCGAAGACGAUCAGAUACCGUCGUAGUCUUAACCAUAAACUAAUGCCGACUAGGGAUCGGAUGAUGUUAAUUUUUAAUGACUCAUUCGGCGCCUUAC